rnacentral:rRNA from 1 species
GCGGCGUGCCUAAUACAUGCAAGUCGAACGAACUCUGGUAUUGAUUGGUGCUUGCAUCAUGAUUUACAUUUGAGUGAGUGGCGAACUGGUGAGUAACACGUGGGAAACCUGCCCAGAAGCGGGGGAUAACACCUGGAAACAGAUGCUAAUACCGCAUAACAACUUGGACCGCAUGGUCCGAGUUUGAAAGAUGGCUUCGGCUAUCACUUUUGGAUGGUCCCGCGGCGUAUUAGCUAGAUGGUGGGGUAACGGCUCACCAUGGCAAUGAUACGUAGCCGACCUGAGAGGGUAAUCGGCCACAUUGGGACUGAGACACGGCCCAAACUCCUACGGGAGGCAGCAGUAGGGAAUCUUCCACAAUGGACGAAAGUCUGAUGGAGCAACGCCGCGUGAGUGAAGAAGGGUUUCGGCUCGUAAAACUCUGUUGUUAAAGAAGAACAUAUCUGAGAGUAACUGUUCAGGUAUUGACGGUAUUUAACCAGAAAGCCACGGCUAACUACGUGCCAGCAGCCGCGGUAAUACGUAGGUGGCAAGCGUUGUCCGGAUUUAUUGGGCGUAAAGCGAGCGCAGGCGGUUUUUUAAGUCUGAUGUGAAAGCCUUCGGCUCAACCGAAGUGCAU